AACUGAAAGAGCACUUUGACAUGAAAGAUCUUGGUGAGGUAAACAACUACCUAUCUCUGGAAAUAGAGAGAGAUCAAGAUGGUAACAUUCUAGUACACCAGUCACGGAAAAUUGCUGAUGUGUUAAGCAAACUAAAUCUGAUGGAUGCUAACCCUGUAGACACACCGAUGACAACAGAUUAUCAGGUAGAUGACACUGAAGAAGCAUUUUCUGACACUACACUGUACAGGAGUGUGCUAGGCAAGCUAAACUUCAUUGCCAGAUGUUCAAGACCAGACAUUGCUGUUAGCUGUAAUUUGCUAAGCAGACAAGUCAACAAUCCUAGUGUCAAGGAUUGGAAAGCUCUGAAACGCAUAGCGCGGUAUUUGAAAGGCACUAUGCAUUACAGACUGAGAUUUAACAAUCAGAAGUCUGGUGGUCUUGAGAUAUUUGCAGAUGCAAGUUUUGGAAGUGACGCUACAGACAGGAAAAGUACGUCUGGAGUUUGCUACAUGUACAAUCAGAGUCUGUUUGAUUGGUCAUGCAAGAAGCAAACAACAGUUAGCUUAAGUACUUGUGAAGCUGAACUGAAUGCACUGUCUUAUUCACUUAAGGAUUGUGAAUGGUUAGUACAAUUGUGCAAAGAUAUGAAAAUUCCUGUCAAAUGUCCAAUCCAGGUUUACCAGGACAACAAAGCAUGUUUGGCUUUGCUGAAGUCUGAUGGUUGUAAGCAAAGCACAAAGCACUUGCAAUUAAAGUUGCAGCAUGCUAGGGAAUGUAUUCAGAAGGGACUCGUAACGGUGUCCUAUAUGCCAGGUAAUGAAAUUCCUGCUGAUGUAUUGUCCAAGAUUGUAUCAAGGGAUCAACACUGUACCUAUGUGCAGAAGUUGGGUUUGUACUGAUAUUGUACGAACACGCUGCCCAGUGAUGUUCACAGAAAGGGGGAGGAUGUUGGUUUCUAUUUCCCUCACUGAGCAGCAACUGCAGUCACAAGACAUUGUUUUGCAUUCCACAGUCUGUACUGUUGGAGUUUCUCACGGGAAAGGGAGACUGGAUGUGACGUACACUGGUUUCCUGUUUUUUCACUGUGUGAUUCUCUCCAAGCUGACGAGGAGAGAGGAUGCAUUUCUCUGCUCCUGCAGAGGCAAGAUGUCUUUCUGUAAUAUACCAGCUUUGAACUGUAAAUAAAGCAAUAUAGAGUAUG